CACCGCGGUUAGACGAGAGGCCCCAGUUGAUAAUACAACGGCGUAAAGGGUGGUUAAGGAUAAACAAAAAUUAAAGCCAAAUGACCCCUUGGCCGUCAUACGCUUCUAGGCGCCCGAAGCCCUAACACGAAAGUAGCUUUAAACAAGCCAACCUGACUCCACGAAAGCUGAGAAA
rnacentral:rRNA from 1 species